UGGUCUGGAAAUAAAUUAAAAAAAAACGGCGGACGCCAAUGCCGCCAUCUUCUAUCGUGUCGUGCGUGCUGUGCUGCUGUGUGAACUUGGAAAUAAAUCCGCUAGCUGAAGCUAGCUGACCGGAUCGGAAAAAUGGUUCAGGGUUCUUUUUGUUGCCCCAUGCCCCAUCAUCUGCCGCCAUCCUGGACAAGUCGGCGAUCAAUAACAGGACCCGGCCUGCGAGCAAUGGCCAAUGAAGUCUAUCCCAGUGCCACGUCAUCAAGUCAUCACGCAGUCGUCGGGUGCAAAUGACGCGGCGGAUCUUUCUCAAGCUUAGAAAGAUGGUUGUGGCCCAGAGCCCCGCUACUUCGUGCCAGGCCAUUCUCCAACUGCAGAUCCAUGUGUCAUCGCGACAGUGCACUCACUCACCUUGUUUGGCCCGAUGGAAUUUGGUAUGUCACCUGAGGCGAGGAGUAGGUGCGUGUGCGAACGGCCUUAGUGACGCCUCUACAGCGCGACGGGUGUAUUCUCCUCAAAUAUGAGAAGGAGCUCGGGUCCUGCGGGCUCUUAACCGUCGUAGUAUUCACGCAGUGUUUUAAAAUAGUGUUUGUGUGUAUUAUGAUAACAUAUGUUCAAUUCAAAUGUCUAACACUACAUAAGUAUACAUAUCAUUUUUCAUUAGUAUGGUGCUGUUUUUGCGGUCUGAAGAAAAACUUCAAA